rnacentral:rRNA from 1 species
UACGAAGGGGACUAGCGUUGUUCGGAUUUACUGGGCGUAAAGCGCGCGUAGGCGGAUCGCUAAGUCAGGGGUGAAAUCCCAGGGCUCAACCCUGGAACUGCCUUUGAUACUGACGAUCUGGAGAUCGGGAGAGGUUGGUGGAAUUCCGAGUGUAGAGGUGAAAUUCGUAGAUAUUCGGAGGAACACCAGAAGCGAAGGCGGCCAACUGGCCCGAUACUGACGCUGAGGCGCGAAAACGUGGGGAGCAAACAGG